CAGGUUUAUUCUCUGAUUUUCUUUACAAGGAGCAGGGCAGCCGUGGCCGGCGAGGGGCCGGGGCGGUUGGGGAGCCGUCCCCGGUGUCAAACGGUGCAGUUUCCCUCACCGUAGCGCCGGCACUUCAUCACCUUCAGCCAGGAGGUGAAGGUGCUGAGCCCUCAGCACGGCGUUGGCAAACAGGUUGGAAAGGGGCAUGGCCGGGAAGGUGGCAGCUUCCUGUGGCCACUGCAGUCCCAGAGCGAUCGCAGCAAUGAAGAGAGGAGAAAACCACGACCCUGCAGCAAAGCGGAGAGGAAAGGCGGUGGCAGUCCUUUAGUGGCCGUGCUGAGGAGAAGGAAUUCCCAGCCUCUUCUCUCCGUGCUGGCUGAGAGCUCACCUUCCUGACCGUCUUGUUUGGCUCCUCGGGCCUUGCCCUCAUGAGGAGAGCACACUGUGUGAGCAAGCAGGGGAUGGUGAGCACCAGGUAAGGGUCUGGGAGUAGCUCACGUCAGCCUUGGUUUACUCCAUGCUGCUGAGGUGAAACCGCCUGUCUGCCUUCCCUGGUGACAUUACCUGUGCUCUGACCAGCUUCUUUUUCUUUCUGGGACGUUCCUGUAGAAUUUGGUGAUCUUUGUCAAGCCUAAAGGUUUUCCGCCCCUGACAUCUAACUCACACAAGUGUCCAUCUGUGCUUACAGAGACCACAAAGUUAA